UACGAGCCAUGCAAGCGUUAUCCGGAAUUAUUGGGCGUAAAGCGUUUGUAGGCGGGCGAGUGUGUUUAAUGUUAAAUCUUAAAGCUCAACUUUGAAAUUGCGUUAAAAACUGCUUGUCUUGAGUAUGGUAGGGGUAAAGGGAAUUCCCAGUGUAGCGGUGAAAUGCGUAGAUAUUGGGAAGAACACUAAACAGCGAAGGCACUUUACUAGGCUAAUACUGACGCUGAGAAACGAAAGGUAAGGUAGCGAAACGGAUUAGAUACCCGUGUAGUCUUACCCGUAAACUAUGGACACUAAACGGUAAAUUUUUAAUUUACUGUUAAAGCUAACGCGUUAAGUGUCCCGCCUGGGGAGUAUGCUUGCAAAAGUGAAACUCAAAGGAAUUGACGGGGGCCCGCACAAGCGGUGGAGCAUGUGGUUUAAUUCGACGGUACACGAAGAACCCUACCAGGAUUUGACAUGCUAGAUAGUUGCUUGAAAGAGUAACGUGCCGUAAGGAAUCUAGACACAGGUGGUGCAUGGCUGUCGUCAGUUCGUGUUGUGAAAUGUUGGGUUAAGUCCCGCAACGAACGCAACCCUUGUCUUUAGUUAUUUUCUAAAGAGACUGCCUGUAAUAAACAGGAGGAAGGUAAGGAUGAGGUCAAGUCAUCAUGCCCCUUAUGUCCUGGGCUACACACGUGCUACAAUGGGAAAGACAAUGAGCUGCAAAUCUGUAAAUUUAAGCAAAUCUCUUAAACUUUCUCGUAGUUCGGAUUGUGGGCUGCAACUCGCCCACAUGAAGUUGGAAUCGCUAGUAAUCGCCAGUCAGCUAUAUGGCGGUGAAUCCGUUCCCGGGCCU
rnacentral:rRNA from 1 species